AGCAGGACCAGAGAGUGCUAGUAAUAGCAGUGUGAGCUCAUCUCAGGUGAUAUCAGAUGGAGGAAAGAGAGAAAGGGAGCACAAUGGUGACUCUGACUCUGGAAAAGGGAGUGAUGACAGUCCCUCUAACUCUCAGGAGGCAGUGAACCUUGUGAGUGAGACCUCCAGUGGUCAAACCCAGCCUGCAUAAGCACUACUACCAAAGCCAUGAUUCAGAGCGAGAGCAUCACUGAACAUUUGUAAUGGGGCAUUUGACACUGUCACUUCUGACAGUCCUGACAAUUAUUUUAUUUUUGGAGGUUGCUUGUAGUUGAAUUAUAAUUUCUGUCUGUCUUUCUCUCAUUUUUCAUAUAAUCUGGAUUUUUUUAAACACAUUGCUUGAGAGAAUUAUGUUUUCCAGAUUAUGUUAUAGGAAGAGAGCUGACUUAGACACUGUUUUAAAAAAAAUAUCAUAUUUGAUAUAUUCAUAUUGAUAUUAUUAUUAAAAAUAUUUGAUAGUUUC